rnacentral:rRNA from 1 species
AGUGAACGCUGGCGGUAGGCCUAACACGUGCAAGUCGAACGGCAGCACAGUGAGAGCUUGCUCUUACGGGUGGCGAGUGGCGGACGGGUGAGGAAUACAUCGGAAUCUACUUUUUCGUGGGGGAUAACGUAGGGAAACUUACGCUAAUACCGCAUACGACCUACGGGUGAAAGCAGGGGAUCUUCGGACCUUGCGCGAUUGAAUGAGCCGAUGUCGGAUUAGCUAGUUGGCGGGGUAAAGGCCCACCAAGGCGACGAUCCGUAGCUGGUCUGAGAGGAUGAUCAGCCACACUGGAACUGAGACACGGUCCAGACUCCUACGGGAGGCAGCAGUGGGGAAUAUUGGACAAUGGGCGCAAGCCUGAUCCAGCCAUACCGCGUGGGUGAAGAAGGCCUUCGGGUUGUAAAGCCCUUUUGUUGGGAAAGAAAAGCAGCAGGUUAAUACCCCGCUGUUCUGACGGUACCCAAAGAAUAAGCACCGGCUAACUUCGUG